UACGGUAGGGUGCAAGCGUUAAUCGGAAUUACUGGGCGUAAAGCGUGCGCAGGCGGUUAUGUAAGACAGAUGUGAAAUCCCCGGGCUCAACCUGGGAACUGCAUUUGUGACUGCAUAGCUAGAGUACGGUAGAGGGGGAUGGAAUUCCGCGUGUAGCAGUGAAAUGCGUAGAUAUGCGGAGGAACACCGAUGGCGAAGGCAAUCCCCUGGACCUGUACUGACGCUCAUGCACGAAAGCGUGGGGAGCAAACAGG
rnacentral:rRNA from 1 species